rnacentral:lncRNA from 1 species
GUCAGAGGGGUUGUGGCUUUGAGGACAAUUGUUCAAGUGAGAAGAGGGCUGUGCAGAUCUCAAGAUGACAUCGGGAUCCUGAUGUGAAGUUUUCCUGCUUCUGGAGGAGGGAAGCAGAGGGCUGUUUUGCCUCCUCUGGGCCAGGGAUGCAUGGAAUGGCAGAGGUGGGGGCUCCCAGCUAUGGUGACUGGGAGGGCAGGUCGGGGUCCCUGGAAGCAGAUCCUGAGACAAAGUCCCCUGUGCAAGAGAUUUAUUUCAAAGGUGUGCCCAGCAUUCCAUUGUGUAAGGAUAUCGGAGGAUGCAAGUCCCCAAGACCUCCCCGACACUGCUGGUGGAGUGCAAAUUGAUGCAACCACAUUGGAAAACAAUUUGGCAGUAUCUCAUGGAGGUGAAUAUUCAGCAAUUCCACUCCCAGAUGCCUGUCUGGAGACAACCUCAUCAAGUCUGGUCUCAGAUGUGUGUUCUCUCUGAUGGGAGACAGCUGGAGCGGCUGUCAGGCCUCCCUGGCAAUAGCGGUGCCUGCGGCAGCACCUGUCAGCAGCACCUUAACGCUGUCCCAGUGAUGGCUGCUGCGAGUGGGAAGGUGACAGGAGGCAGUUGUUCUUGGGGUCUGGGAGGCUCUUUGCUGCACUGCUCCUUGACCCCUCUACAUGGAAGGGUGAGCCCCAGUUCCUGUACAUCUUCUGGAAUUGCAGACCUCCUCCCCACGUCACCUCCAGUGGAUUUCCUCGCUGGUCUUGACUCUGGCUGAUGCCACCCACACGCCUCCACUCCAGCUGUUUUCCUAAGACAGCGUGUGAUGCCAUGCCGCCCUGUGUUUCCUGGUCCCUCUGCCUCAAAGACUUUGGUUUCCCACCUCUGUCUGGUGAAUUUCCCUUUUCCAAGGCCAGCUUCCAAUUCCCUUUUUCAGACAUCCUGUCAUGCUGUGCCCAGGCAGAGCCUUCCUCCCCAAACCCACACAGCCCUUUGCACGUUUCUCUUCCAUUACACAUAUUGGUUGCCAGGAAGGAGAAUUCAGGUGAAUGCCUGCCUCUGGCUCCCUAUCACAAUGUUUGAGUCUCAAGGAGGGCGACCAGGUGGAGUUAGGUGACCUCAACCCAAGGGGACAAGUGUCAGAGUUGGGCAGGGUAAGGUCUGGAUCCCAGGAAGAUAAUUCUGUUGUUCUUAAAAUAAGACCCCAGCUGGUGAUGAGGAGAGAGACCUGGAGGACAUAGAGAAGCGCCCAGAACCCUCCUUCAUUCCAAGAGGAGCGGCUGCUGACCACAGGGCAGAGGGCCAAGGUUCUAGGAAAGGGGCACAGAGGUCAGGACCGGACUGCAGUCCAGCAAGAACUGGAGCUCAUGCUUCAGCCUUCUGAUUGAGCUCACCAGUCUUAAAGGAGACUGGAGCUCCCUGGACCUAGGUUCAAAUACCCACUCCUCCGCUUAUUUGCUGUGUGACUGUGGGCAAGUCACUUCACCUAUCUGAGCCUUGGUUGCCAUCAGUGCAACAUGAGGUAAAACUGCUCAAUUUAAGGAGAUAAUGUUGGGGAGGGCCUAACCCAGAUAUGGGCACACAGCAGGCACUGGUCUCCACCUUGGGGAAAAAAAGUCACAGCUGCAGCCACUGGGGCCGCCCGAGACAAGCUUAGGGAAACAUUGCCAACUCCGGUUCCUUAUUGCUGGGGGUGAAGGCUCUUGGCAGCCCCAGGCUGCACGUGACCCUUGAAUCCUUUAUGUUCGGUGUGACUUUUAUCAAGUCAUUUCACCUCUCCACACCUCAGUUUCCUGCCCCAUAAACUGGAGACACUAAUAAAACCCACCUUAUGGGGUUGUUU